GCUACGGGAGGCAGCAGUGAGGAAUAUUGGUCAAUGGACGCAAGUCUGAACCAGCCAAGUAGCGUGCAGGAUGACGGCCCUCCGGGUUGUAAACUGCUUUUAGUUGGGAAUAAAAGGGGGCUCGUGAGCCCCGUAUUGUAUGUACCAUCAGAAAAAGGACCGGCUAAUUCCGUGCCAGCAGCCGCGGUAAUACGGAAGGUCCGGGCGUUAUCCGGAUUUAUUGGGUUUAAAGGGAGCGUAGGCCGGCUUUUAAGUCAGCUGUGAAAGUCCGCGGCUCAACCGUGGAAUUGCAGUUGAAACUGGUUUUCUUGAGUGAGCGAGAAGUAUGCGGAAUGCGUGGUGUAGCGGUGAAAUGCAUAGAUAUCACGCAGAACUCUGAUUGCGAAGGCAGCAUACCGGCGCUCAACUGACGCUCAUGCACGAAAGUGUGGGUAUCGAACAGGAUUAGAUACCCGGGUAGUC
rnacentral:rRNA from 1 species